UACGAAGGGGGCGAGCGUUGUUCGGAUUUACUGGGCGUAAAGGGCGCGCAGGCGGCUUUGUUUGUCAGGCGUGAAAGCCCCGGGCUUAACCUGGGAACUGCGUUUGAUACGGCAGGGCUAGAGUUCGGGAGAGGAGAGUGGAAUUCCCAGUGUAGAGGUGAAAUUCGUAGAUAUUGGGAAGGAACACCGGUGGCGAAGGCGGGUCUCUGGGCAACAACUGACGCUGAGGAGCGAAAGCGUGGGGAGCGAACAGG
rnacentral:rRNA from 1 species